rnacentral:rRNA from 1 species
UACGGAGGGUGCAAACGUUAUUCGGAAUCACUGGGCUUACAGGGUGCGUAGGCGGCUUGUUAAGUAGGGUGUGAAAGCCCCCGGCUCAACCGGGGAAUUGCGCCCUAAACUGGCGAGCUGGAGUGAGAUAGGGGUGUGUGGAACUUCCGGUGGAGCGGUGAAAUGUGUUGAUAUCGGAAGGAACGCCGGUGGCGAAAGCGACACACUGGAUCUUGUCUGACGCUGAGGCACGAAAGCCAGGGGAGCGAACGGG